rfam:Clostridium difficile 630 complete genome
UUCAGAUAUAGGCAAUAUUAGAUAAAUCUAAUGACGCAAAACUAUAGGGACUAAAAUCUUUAUGUAAUAAAGGUCAUGUCAGCCAGUUGCCAAA